AAGACUAUACUUUCAGGGAUCAUUUCUGUAGUUCUUUACUAGAGAAGUUUUUCUGUGCAUAUAGAGCACCAGAAGCCAUGAGGAGGAGGCAAAGCAUUCUCUCCUGAGCGUGAAGUCAGCUCUUGGUGUUGCUUUGCUGCAACUGCCGUUUGCUAUUGAUAAGCGUUCUUCUGUCCCUAUCUGGGAGAACAAGAGGGAGGGAAAGGACAGGGUCUGAGUGGU
rnacentral:snoRNA from 1 species